CUUGGUGGCAAUAGAGAAGGGGCAAUACCUGUUCCCAUUCCGAACACAGAAGUUAAGUCCUUCAUCGCCGAUGGUACUGCAUGGGUAACUGUGUGGGAGAGUAGGACGCUGCCAGGA
rnacentral:rRNA from 1 species